AUUGAACGCUGGCGGCAGGCUUAACACAUGCAAGUCGAACGAGUGGCGGACGGGUGAGUAAUGCUUUGGCAUCUAGCUUAUGUAGGGGGCUAACUACGGGAAACUUUAGCUAAUACCGCUUACCACAGGAUGAGCCCACGGUGGAUUAGGUAGUGGGGGGGGUAAAGGCUCACCAAGCCGACGAUCCCUAGCUGGUCUGAGAGGAUGACCAGCCAAACGGGGACUGAGACACGGCCCAAACGCCGACGGGAGGCAGCAGAGGGGAAGAUUGCGCAAGGGGGGCAGCCGGACGCAGCCAGGCCGCGUGAAUGAAGAAGGCCUUCGGGUUGUAAGUUCUUUCGGUAGAGAGGCGUUAACUACAGAAGAAGCACCGGCUAACUCCGUGCCAGCAGCCGCGGUAAUUC
rnacentral:rRNA from 1 species